UAACCUGCUAACUAGUUCACGGAACGUGAGUUCUUGUAAACUUCUUAGAGGGACUAUCUGUGACUAACAGAUGGAAGUUUGAGGCAAUAACAGGUCUGUGAUGCCCUUAGAUGUUCUGGGCCGCACGCGCGCUACACUGAUAAAGUCAGCGAGUAUUCACCUUGACCGGAAGGUUUGGGUAAUCUUUUGAAACUUUAUCGUGAUGGGGAUUGAGCAUUGCAAUUAUUGCUCAUGAACGAGGAAUUCCUAGUAAGCGCGAGUCAUCAGCUCGCGUUGAUUACGUCCCUGCCCUUUGUACACACCGCCCGUCGAU
rnacentral:rRNA from 1 species